AAAGGACUCCUAAUACUCGUUUUUUGGAUUGCUGUGCCAUUGUUAAGGAGUUCACAGCGAUGUAGUGAUGGGUGAGACUGACAGAGCUUAACUCUCACCUCUUGUUCGCAUCUAACUAUUAAAUUUAGAAAUGGGCCAGGCACACAAAAGCGCUUCCAGGAUCUAUGUAGAAAGAAAUACAUUGCUGUGUGUUUGUAGCUCCGCCCAUCAUUUGAGGGUAAGUAGAAAAGAGGUUUGGCGUGGCUUUCAGAGGAAGUAAGGUGAAGAUUCUUCUCU
rnacentral:lncRNA from 1 species